rnacentral:lncRNA from 1 species
UUAGCCGUGACUUUUAAGACAAACAAACAAGCUGAUAUAUCUCGUAUAAUCUUGAAAUGUUUGCAUGAACUAGUUUUUUUUCCCUCUUUGUUCUAUUAUACUACGCUGAUGCCGGCUGAUGGUUUACAUACCCUUUAAAAAAAAUAAAAAUGGAAGGAUAUUGUACAUGAAAUUUACCCCUGCUCCAGUGGUCCUUAGACUCCAAACUCUACGUACGCUGG